rnacentral:piRNA from 1 species
UCCGUUCUAAAUUCUCUUUUC